rnacentral:rRNA from 1 species
GAGUUCAGCACUAAGUCACUUUGUCUUUAUGGCAAAUGUGAGAUGCAGUGUAUGGAAUGUCAAAUUUCUAGUAUGAGAAAUUAACGAUUUAAGUCCUUCUUAAAUGAGGCCAUUUACCCAAAGAGGGUGCCAGGCCCGUAUAACGUUAAUGAUUACUAGAUGGCAUUUCCAAAGAGUCGUGUUGCUUGAUAGUGCAGCACUAAGUGGGUGGUAAACUCCAUCUAAAACUAAAUAUAACCAUGAGACCGAUAGUAAACAAGUACCGUGAGGGAAAGUUGAAAAGAACUCUGAAUAGAGAGUUAAAUAGUACGUGAAACUGCUUAGAGGUUAAGCCCGAUGAACCUGAAUAUCCGUUAUGGAAAAUUCAUCAUUAUGAUUUUAAUAUUUAUAAUAUUAUAAUAAUGGUGUGCAUUUUUUCUAUAAAGGACAUUGUAAUCUAUUAACAUACAAAUAUUUAUCAUAAGAUCAAGGGCGUAAGUUUAUUCAAAUUAUUUUGCUUGCAAUUUAACAUAGAAUAAAUGUCUUUGAUUUGAUAAAGUGUUGAUAGAUUUAUUAUAUAUAGUGCUUAAAUAUUUAUAUUUUAUAAUAGCAUAUUAAUCAUUGAUUUUUAUGUUUAUUAUAUGCACUUAUAUGAUUAACAAUGCGAAAGAUUCAGGAUACCUUCGGGACCCGUCUUGAAACACGGACCAAGGAGUCUAACAUAUUUGCAAGUUAUUGGGAAUAAAAACCUAAUAGCGAAAUUAACAUAACUUAUUAAUGGGAUUAGUUUUUAGCCUAUUUAUAGUCUAUUAAUUCAAUCCCGGGGCGUUCUAUCAGUUAUGUAUAAUAAUAUUUAUAUUAUUUAUACCUCUAACUAGAGCGUACCUUGAGCAUAUAUGCUGUGACCCGAAAGAUGGUGAACUAUACUUGAUCAGGUUGAAGUCAGGGGAAACCCUGAUGGAAGACCGAAACAGUUCUGACGUGCAAAUCGA